GUGUCAGCAGCCGCGGUAAGACGAACCGUGCGAACGUUGUUCGGAUUCACUGGGCUUAAAGGGCGCGUAGGCGGGCGGCAACGUCGGGGGUGAAAUCUCACGGCCCAACCGUGAAACAGCCUCCGAUACGGGCCGCCUCGAGGGAGGUAGGGGCACGCGGAACUUCCGGUGGAGCGGUGAAAUGCGUAGAUAUCGGAAGGAACGCCGGUGGCGAAAGCGGCGUGCUGGGCCUUCACUGACGCUGAGGCGCGAAAGCCAGGGGAGCGAACGGGAUUAGAUACCCCCGUAGUCC
rnacentral:rRNA from 1 species